CAGCUACUCCCUCCGUCCCAUAUUAACUGACUUUCUAUUACAUGUAUCUAGACGUAUUUUAGUAUAUAGAUACGUCAAUAUUUAAACAAAUUUGAGUCACUUAAUAUGAGACGGAGGGAGUAGUAG
rfam:Brachypodium distachyon strain Bd21 chromosome 1, whole genome shotgun sequence.